rnacentral:rRNA from 1 species
GAUUAUGGCUCAGGAUGAACGCUAGCGGCAGGCUUAACACAUGCAAGGCGAGGGGCAGCGAGGGUAGCAAUACCUGUCGGCGACCGGCGGAAGGGUGCGUAACGCGUGAGCAACAUGCCCGUCAUUGGGGGAUAGUCAUUGGAAACGAUGCGUAAUACCCCAUAACCACUGAAAUCGCAUGGUUUUAGUGUAAAAGAUGCGUCGAUGACGGAUUGGCUCGCGUGGCAUUAGCCAGUUGGCGGGGUAACGGCCCACCAAAGCUACGAUGCCUAGGGGUUCUGAGAGGAAGACCCCCCACAUUGGGACUGAGACACGGCCCAAACUCCUACGGGAGGCAGCAGUGAGGAAUAUUGGUCAAUGGACGGAAGUCUGAACCAGCCAUGCCGCGUGAAGGAUGGGCCGGCCCUAUGGGUUGUAAACUUCUUUUGUGACAGAGCAAUAAGGUCUACGUGUAGACCGAUGAGAGUAUGCCACGAAUAAGCAUCGGCUAACUCCGUGCCAGCAGCAGC